rnacentral:lncRNA from 1 species
GAACAUCCAGUUUGAAUCAUCCGUGCAUCCCUCUCAAGAAAACACUCAGUCCCCCUAUCUCCCUCUCUCCCCACCCCCAAUUCUACUGUACACCCCUUCAUCUCCAACCCGCUCUCUCAUGAAAACCCCCGGUCCCUCCAUCUCCUUCUCUCUCUCCUCUCAACCCACGUCUGCUCUCUCUCCUCCUUUUCCUUUUAUAGGUUUCGAAUCAUCUAAUAUAGAAUAAUUUCUAAUUAUUGAUUUUUAUAAUUUUGAUUUGAUUUAAUGUAGGGAAGAAGUAGGUGAUGAUGAAUCGAAAAGCUACGAAUCUAGAGUUCGCUUUAAAUGAGAUUUUACAUUUCUAGAAAUUAAAAAACAUUUUUUUUCCUUUCUCAAAAAAAAAUUUUUUUUUUUCUCUCUUAAUUUCAUUUU